UACGUAGGAUGCAAGCGUUGUCCGGAAUCAUUGGGCGUAAAGCGCGCGUAGGUGGCUUCGUAAGUCCGUUGUGAAAGUCAAAGGCUCAACCUUUGAAAGCCGAUGGAUACUGCGGAGCUAGAGUACGGAAGAGGCGAGUGGAAUUCCUGGUGUAGCGGUGGAAUGCGCAGAUAUCAGGAGGAACACCAAUAGCGAAGGCAGCUCGCUGGGACGUUACUGACACUGAGGCGCGAAAGCGUGGGGAGCGAACAGG
rnacentral:rRNA from 1 species